rnacentral:rRNA from 1 species
UAGCAUAAACAGUAUUAGAGGCACUGCCUGCCCAGUGACACACGUUAAACGGCCGCGGUAUCCUGACCGUGCAAAGGUAGCAUAAUCAUUUGUUCUUUAAAUAGGGACUUGUAUGAACGGCUAAACGAGGGUUAAUCUGUCUCUUACUUUUAAUCAGUGAAAUUGACCUCCCCGUGAAGAGGCGGGGAUAGACAAAUAAGACGAGAAGACCCUAUGGAGCUUAAAUUUAUUAAUUCAAGCAAACACUCAUAAAACCUAUAAGGCACAACCUCUCUUGCCCUUGAGUUAAAAAUUUUGGUUGGGGUGACCUCGGAGCAUAAAUUAACCUCCGAAUGAUCUUAAUUCAGACCCAGACCCGUCUAAAUUUAUAUUCAUAAAUUGACCCAAGCUUUUGAUCAACGGAACAAGUUACCCUAGGGAUAACAGCGCAAUCCUACCCAAGAGUCCAUAUCGACAGUAGGGUUUACGACCUCGAUGUUGGAUCAGGACAUCCAAAUGGUGCAACCGCUAUUAAUGGUUCGUUUGUUCAACGAAUAAAGUCCU